ACUGAGCAGGACUAGCGUGCCCUUUGGACUACAUCAAACCAGACAAUUAGAUCCUCUCCAUGAAGGGCCUCAGAGGUCAGAGGCAUAAUGGGAAAAGAGCAGACACAUCAAAACAGCUCCAUGUCGGAGCAGAGCAGAGCAGCUGUCUGAGAGGAACACGGUGUGCAACACUGUAACAAAGGAUCAGAAGCAGCUUUGAUAGCUAGCUGCUGGGCUGACAGGGAAUGCAGGUCCAGCUGGUGCAGAAACAGUAAGGGCAAGUCACUCCAGAUCUUGAAGGUCAGGGAUGUUGCCAUCCAGAUAAACCUCUCUGUAAACACACCCAAAAGGAUGUCUCAUUAAUGCCCCAGCACCUGUGGCCUCGGCGCUUCCUGAUUCAAUCAAGCAAGCUGAUGUUCAGAAUUUACCAUCAUGGGGUUCUCACCAAGAAGACUGACACGGGGCAUUUGACAGACAGUGUCACUACUCAGGUAUUCCAGAGGACAUCUGUACAGACAACUGGUUUUUAAAGAUCAAUUUAAAAAACUACUUAAAAUGUAUUAUGGGACUCACUGUCCCUCAUUCUCGAGUCAAAUAGAUGCCUUUCCUCAUGUAAGGACACAACUCAGGCCGACCACAGCAGCACAGCUCCAUGGAAGGAAACCCUACUGCCACGGACCUACCUCACAGAACAUGUAGAGAGACAAAAGGGUGAGUCCAAGGUUAUACACCACCAAGAUGCCUCGGCAAGAGAGCGGCUGCUUGUUCUUCAUGUAUUUUGGUCCCAGCCAUACGAUGAGUAAGUAAAUGA